AUAGGCUCCUAACACGAAUGGUCGAGGAUGGUCUUGAACUAGAGAUCCUGCCAGUGUGUGCCACCAUUCCUGUCUACUGGCUCCUAGUUUUAUUAUUACUUUGACAUAAGACUUUAAAUACUAAAAAAUACAUGGAAAGGAAUUAGAGCCAGCUGAAUGCAAUAAGGAACAAGGAAGGAAGACGCUCAGUAAGAGGAAAUCAAACCUGUUUACAAGUCUGGGAUCUAAACACUUGUGAGGUUAACUAAAGGGCACUGAACAAGUAAAGCUGUGCUGAAAAGAACAGUGGCCAAGGCAGGGAUAUUCUUAUACCACAAACAGUCAUGCAGAUGGAAGUCUGGCCAACAAAACCAUAAAGCAUCAUGUCUCACUGUGACUCAAUCUGUCAGCUCAAGUACAAGCCUUGAGUACACAAGUUCUUCUGCAUUCCCAAAUGCUUCCUUCUUUUGUCUCCAGUUAAAGACAUUUACCACUUUCUGGGAAGGAUUUCAACUUCAACUUUUCAUGAAAUACGAUGAGAGAUCGACUCAUGAUGGACUCAUCAGAAAUAAUUGGAGGUGGGAGGGAACAAUGUCAUCACUGACAGACUGUGCAACAACAAUUACUUGGAGCAACAGAGAGCAACGGGACAGCAGAGACCAUAUCUCCAACCAUUGAUUGUCCUUCAGCAUCAUUGGAAAUGUUCCCGAUUGCAUGUCUGUUAAAUAAAAUAUCACAUUGGACCCCUAUAUUGAUGCCAUUUUGCAGAUUGAGACAAUAGGAUGUGAACAGUAGAAUCUCCCAGCUAUACUUAGGAGUCAAAGAAUAUAUUGAAACAAAAAACCCAGGCAGAGGCAAAACAGAUGAGGACUAACUAGUUCCUGUGCUUUGGAAAAGAUGCAAUUGACAAGUA
rnacentral:lncRNA from 1 species